UAAUGCCGGAUGCUCCAGUUGAUCGCAUGGUCUUCUGGGAAAGCUUUCGCGGUAUGGGAUGGGGUCGCGUCCUAUCAGCUUGACGGCGGGGUAACGGCCCACCGUGGCUUCGACGGGUAGCCGGCCUGAGAGGGCGACCGGCCACAUUGGGACUGAGAUACGGCCCAGACUCCUACGGGAGGCAGCAGUGGGGAAUAUUGCACAAUGGGCGCAAGCCUGAUGCAGCGACGCCGCGUGAGGGAUGGAGGCCUUCGGGUUGUAAACCUCUUUUAUCGGGGAGCAAGCGAGAGUGAGUUUACCCGUUGAAUAAGCACCGGCUAACUACGUGCCAGCAGCCGCGGUAAUACGUAGGGUGCAAGCGUUAUCCGGAAUUAUUGGGCGUAAAGGGCUCGUAGGCGGUUCGUCGCGUCCGGUGUGAAAGUCCAUCGCUUAACGGUGGAUCCGCGCCGGGUACGGGCGGGCUUGAGUGCGGUAGGGGAGACUGGAAUUCCCGGUGUAACGGUGGAAUGUGUAGAUAUCGGAG
rnacentral:rRNA from 1 species